rnacentral:rRNA from 1 species
GUGGGGAAUUUUGGACAAUGGGCGCAAGCCUGAUCCAGCGACGCCGCGUGGAGGACGAAGGCCUUCGGGUUGUAAACUCCUUUUGGAGGGGAAGAAUAAAUUGACGGUACCCUCAGAAAAAGCCACGGCUAACUACGUGCCAGCAGCCGCGGUAAUACGUAGGUGGCGAGCGUUACUCGGAAUUACUAGGCGUAAAGCGUAUGUAGGUGGUUAGAUAAGUCUAUGGUGAAAUUUCCUGGCUUAACUGGGAAGGGACAUAGAUACUAUCUGGCUUGAGUGUGGGAGGGGGAGACGGAAUUCCUGGUGUAGCGGUGAAAUGCGUAGAUAUCAGGAGGAACACCGAUGGCGAAAGCAGUCUCCUGGCCCAAUACUGACACUGAGGUACGAAAGCUAGGGUAGCAAACAGGAUUAGAAACCCUUGUAGUCC